rnacentral:rRNA from 1 species
AAACUCAAAAUGAAUUUGACGGGGGCCCCGCACAAGCGGUGGAGCAUGUGGUUUAAAUUCGAUGCAACGCGAAGAACCUUACCUACUCUUGACAUCCACGGAAUUCGGGCAGAGAUGCCUUAGUGCCUUCGGGAACCGUGAAACAGGUGCUGCAUGGCUGUCGUCAGCUCGUGUUGUGAAAUGUUGGGUUAAGUCCCGCAACGAGCGCAACCCUUAUCCUUUGUUGCCAGCGAUUCGGUCGGGAACUCAAAGGAGACUGCCGGUGAUAAACCGGAGGAAGGUGGGGAUGACGUCAAGUCAUCAUGGCCCUUACGAGUAGGGCUACACACGUGCUACAAUGGCGCAUACAAAGAGAAGCGACCUCGCGAGAGCAAGCGGACCUCAUAAAGUGCGUCGUAGUCCGGAUCGGAGUCUGCAACUCGACUCCGUGAAGUCGGAAUCGCUAGUAAUCGUGGAUCAGAAUGCCACCGGUGAAUACG